AGCUUCCUCACCGAGUUAGCUUACUCCUAUUUGUUAUCUUCCAUGCUGGCUGGUCAUAUGAGGCGCAGCUCUGUGACCCCGCAACCUGAGGACUUGGUUCUGCUGCUGUGCCCAGCGUGCAAACUGCACCCUUCAGCCUGCUCACAGCCUGGCUCCUGCAGUGCAGUGGGCUCCUUUGACCUGGAGGCUGCCUGCUGGCCCUGAGCCCUGCUCUGCUCUGCUCUGCUCUGCUCUGCUCUGCUCUGCUCUGCUCUGCUCUGCUCUGCUCUGCUCUGCUUCAUUCUGCUUUGCUCCAUAGGACCUGCUCAUGGAAAGAUGGCUGAGCACCAGAAGAAGGCCCAGUAAAUGUGAAGUCAGAAAAUGAAGAGAAAUCACAGCAGUAGCUUGAGAUCUGUUUUAAAUCCAGCAGCACAACGUCUUCAUUUGACAGCACUGCAACUACAGGGAAGACAUUGUAAUGCAUAAAAUACCCACUACGCUAGCUCUU